rnacentral:rRNA from 1 species
ACGAACGCUGGCGGCGUGCCUAAUACAUGCAAGUCGAGCGGAAUGAUGAAGAAGCUUGCUUCUUCUGAUUUUAGCGGCGGACGGGUGAGUAACACGUGGGCAACCUACCUUGUAGAUUGGGAUAACUCCGGGAAACCGGGGCUAAUACCGAAUAAUCCAUUUUGCUUCAUGGCGAGAUGUUGAAAGACGGUUUCGGCUGUCACUACAAGAUGGGCCCGCGGCGCAUUAGCUAGUUGGUAGGGUAAUGGCCUACCAAGGCGACGAUGCGUAGCCGACCUGAGAAGGUGAUCGGCCACACUGGGACUGAGACACGGCCCAGACUCCUACGGGAGGCAGCAGCAAGGAAUAUUGGGCAAUGGGCGAAAGCCUGAUGGAGCAACGCCGCGUGAGUGAAGAAGGUUUUCGGAUCGUAAAACUCUGUUGUAAGGGAAGAACACGUACGAGAGUAACUGCUCGUACCUUGACGGUACCUUAUUAGAAAGCCACGGCUAACUACGUG